UCUGGAGCUGAAAUGACAAAAUUAUGGCAUUCAAUUUUUUCCAUUGUCCGGUUGCUUUAGAUUUUUGCUCGAAAGUCAACGGAAGAUUUGAAUCGGGAGAGACACAUAUUGUUGUGCCUUGGAAUACCAACGUUGUUUUGGUUUGCUACGUUCAAAGCCAAUGUAAACAUCAUUGCUAAAUGAAGAUAUUGGUACGUUCACUUGAUGUUAGGAUAUCGUUUCAGUAACAGUAACGCAAAAGUGUGCACAAUAGCAUUUAAAAUGAAUACCAACAAGUGUGAAACAAAAAAUUGUGGAAGAGAAAUAAUAUCCGAUUACAUGAGGACGGCAGAUCAUGUAACGAGAUUGCCAGAAUUGUGAACAGAAGUAAGUCCACGAUACAUUAUAUGGUAAAAAAGUCAAAGAACGAGGGAACACUAGUAAACAAAGGUCGAUAAGGUAGACCAAAGAAAUUGACUGGGAGAGAGGAGAGAAAGCAAUAAUAUUCGUGGCAGAGUAUCGCGAAACGAGCCAUGUAUUAAUGCGAUAAAUCAUGAAAAAAGAUUGAUAUUUGCAAAAACCUAUAUUAAUAAAGAUAAUUCUUUUUGGGACAAAGUUUAACGUUUUUGGCUCGGAUGGUCAAAAUUAUGUGCGGAGGGAACCAAAUACGAAAUUGGAAAUUCGACAUUUACGUGAAACAGUGAAACACGGAGGUGGAUCGGUCAUGACGUGGGAGUGCAUGGCUGCCGGUGGCGCCGGAAAUUUGAUAUUCAUUGAUGGAAUACUUGAUAAGUAUAAGUAUUCCAAUAUUUAAAAAAAUAACCUUAAAGAAAGUGCCCGUAAAUUAGGAUUAUUGAAAGAUUUCCACUUCCAACAAGAUAAUGAUCCUAAACAUACUGCUAGAAUUGUGAAAGAAUGAAUCCUAUAUAAAUACACCACACAUGUUAAUUACUCUACUACAAAGUCCACACAUAAAUCCUAUUGAAAAUUUAUAGGCUGAAAUCGGAAAAAAAUGAAACAAAUUUCAUAUAAUCUCAAAGCAAGUAUUGAAAGAUAAAAUUAUAGAAAUAUGGAAGUCCGUUGAAUGUAGUUUUACAAAAUCAUUGGUUUACAGUAUGGAACGUCGAUUGAGACACACUAUCGCUGCUAAAGGUGGUCCAACAAAACAUUAAUAUUAAAUAAUUUAAUAAUACAUGUAGCGUUCAAAUACCUUUAUCAGUCACUUACAAUGCGUGUUUCUAAUAAAUGUAUCAACUCCUA